CCUACGGGAGGCAGCAGUGAGGAAUAUUGGUCAAUGGACGAGAGUCUGAACCAGCCAAGUAGCGUGAAGGAUGACUGCCCUAUGGGUUGUAAACUUCUUUUAUAUGGGAAUAAAAUGUUCCACGUGUGGGAUUUUGUAUGUACCAUAUGAAUAAGGAUCGGCUAACUCCGUGCCAGCAGCCGCGGUAAUACGGAGGAUCCGAGCGUUAUCCGGAUUUAUUGGGUUUAAAGGGUGCGUAGGUGGAUUGUUAAGUCAGUUGUGAAAGUUUGGGGCUCAACCGUAAAAUUGCAGUUGAAACUGGCAGUCUUGAGUACAGUAGAGGUGGGCGGAAUGCGUGGUGUAGCGGUGAAAUGCUUAGAUAUCACGAAGAACUCCGAUUGCGAAGGCAGUUCACUGGACUGCAACUGACACUGAGGCUCGAAAGUGUGGGUAUCAAACAGGAUUAGAUACCCGGGUAGUC
rnacentral:rRNA from 1 species